rnacentral:rRNA from 1 species
UACGGAGGGGGCAAGCGUUGUUCGGAAUUACUGGGCGUAAAGGGCGCGUAGGCGGCCUGCUAAGUCGAACGUGAAAUCCCCGGGCUCAACCCGGGAACUGCGUCCGAUACUGGUUGGCUUGAAUCCGGGAGAGGGAUGCGGAAUUCCAGGUGUAGCGGUGAAAUGCGUAGAUAUCUGGAGGAACACCGGUGGCGAAGGCGGCACCCUGGACCGGCAUUGACGCUGAGGCGCGAAAGCCAGGGGAGCAAACGGG